GGGGCGCAGAGGUUAGCGCGCGACCACAUAUAGAGGCUAUAGUCCUCAAAGCUGCCAUCCCGGGUUCGAGUCCCGGACCU